CAAUAGCGUAUAUUAAAGUUGUUGCAGUUAAAAAGCUCGUAGUUGGAUUUCUGCUGAGGACGAUCGGUCCGCCCACUGGGUGAGUAUCUGGCUCGGCCUUGGCAUCUUCUUGGAGAACGUUGCUGCACUUGACUGUGAGGCGCGGUAUCCAGGACUUUUACUUUGAGGAAAUUAGAGUGUUUCAAGCAGGCGCACGCCUUGAAUACAUUAGCAUGGAAUAAUGAGAUAGGACCUUGGUUCUAUUUUGUUGGUUUCUAGAGCUGAGGUAAUGAUUAAUAGGGAUAGUUGGGGGCAUUCGUAUUUAACUGUCAGAGGUGAAAUUCUUGGAUUUGUUAAGGACGGACUACAGCGAAAGCAUUUGCCAAGGAUGUUUUCAUUGA
rnacentral:rRNA from 1 species